AGAGUUUGAUCCUGGCUCAGGAUGAACGCUGGCGGCGUGCCUAACACAUGCAAGUCGAGCGCGAUUAAUUGGACUGGAGACUUCGGUCAAAGGGAAGAUUAUGAAAGCGGCGGACGGGUGAGUAACGCGUGAGCAACCUGCCCUGUACAGGGGGAUAGCCACUGGAAACGGUGAUUAAUACCCCAUAAACCCAAAGGACCGCAUGGUCCAAUGGGCAAAGUUCCAACGGUACAGGAUGGGCUCGCGUCUGAUUAGCUAGUUGGUGAGGUAACGGCUCACCAAGGCGACGAUCAGUAGCCGACCUGAGAGGGUGAACGGCCACACUGGAACUGAGACACGGUCCAGGCUCCUACGGGAGGCAGCAGUGGGGAAUAUUGCACAAUGGGCGCAAGCCUGAUGCAGCAACGCCGCGUGAGUGAUGAAGGCCUUCGGGUCGUAAAACUCUGUCCUAAGGGAAGAAGAAGUGACGGUACCUUAGGAGGAAGCCCCGGCUAACUACGUGCCAACAGCCGCGGUAAUACGUAGGGGGCAAGCGUUAUCCGGAAUCACUGGGCGUAAAGGGUGCGUAGGCGGCUGAUCAAGCCAGGGGUGAAAGGCAAUAGCUUAACUAUUGUAAGCCUUUGGAACUGGUCAGCUUGAGUGCAGGAGAGGAAAGCGGAAUUCCUAGUGUAGCGGUGAAAUGCGUAGAUAUUAGGAGGAACACCCGUGGCGAAGGCGGCUUUCUGGACUGUAACUGACGCUGAGGCACGAAAGCGUGGGGAGCAAACAGGAUUAGAUACCCUGGUAGUCCACGCUGUAAACGAUGAAUACUAGGUGUCGGGGGUCAAAGCCCGGUGCCGCAGCUAACGCAUUAAGUAUU
rnacentral:rRNA from 1 species